GAUGAACGCUAGCGGCAGGCUUAAUACAUGCAAGUCGAGGGGCAGCAUGAUUGUAGCAAUACGAUUGAUGGCGACCGGCAAACGGGUGCGGAACACGUACACAACCUCCCAAUAAGUGGGGAAUAGCCCAGAGAAAUUUGGAUUAAUACCCCGUAACAUAACGAUGUGGCAUCACAUUGUUAUUAUAGAUUUUUCGCUUAUUGAUGGGUGUGCGGCUGAUUAGAUAGUUGGCGGGGUAACGGCCCACCAAGUCUACGAUCAGUAGCUGAUGUGAGAGCAUGAUCAGCCACACGGGCACUGAGACACGGGCCCGACUCCUACGGGAGGCAGCAGUAAGGAAUAUUGGACAAUGGACGCAAGUCUGAUCCAGCCAUGCCGCGUGAAGGAUUAAGGUCCUCUGGAUUGUAAACUUCUUUUAUAAGGGACGAAAAAAGGUCUUUCUAGAUCGUCUGACGGUACCUUAUGAAUAAGCACCGGCUAACUCCGUGCCAGCCGCCGCCGUAACAC
rnacentral:rRNA from 1 species